CCUACGGGAGGCAGCAGUGGGGAAUCUUGCGCAAUGGGCGAAAGCCUGACGCAGCAACGCCGCGUGCGGGAAGAAGGCUUUCGGGCUGUAAACCGCUUUCAGCAGGAACGAAAAUGACGGUACCUGCAGAAGAAGGAGCGGCCAACUAUGUGCCAGCAGCCGCGGUGAUACAUAGGCUUCAAGCGUUGUCCGGAUUUAUUGGGCGUAAAGAGUUCGUAGGCGGUCGAGUAAGUCGGGUGUGAAAAUUCUGGGCUCAACCCAGAGACGCCACCCGAUACUGCUUGACUUGAGUUCGAUAGGGGAGUGGGGAAUUCCUAGUGUAGCGGUGAAAUGCGCAGAUAUUAGGAGGAACACCGGUGGCGAAGGCGCCACUCUGGAUCGAUACUGACGCUGAGGAACGAAAGCAUGGGUAGCAAACAGGAUUAGAUACCCUGGUAGUCCAUGCCGUAAACGGUGGGCACUAGGUGUGGGUUUCUAUUAACGAAAUCCGCGCCGUCGCUAACGCAUUAAGUGCCCGCCUGGGAGUACGGUCGCAAGCUAAACNCAAAUGAAGUAGUAGNGNGAGAGNGCGAGCGACGACGAGGAGAG
rnacentral:rRNA from 1 species